rnacentral:tRNA from 1 species
CGGGGCGUAGCGCAGCCUGGUAGCGCAUCUGCCAGGGUGGCAGGUGGUCGCAGGUUCAAAUCCUGCCGUCCCGACCA